GACGAACCGUGCGAACGUUGUUCGGAAUCACUGGGCUUAAAGGGCGCGUAGGCGGACUGUCAAGUCUGGGGUGAAAUGCCGCGGCUCAACCGUGGAACUGCCUUAGAUACUGACGGCCUCGAGGAAGGUAGGGGCAUGCGGAACUGUAGGUGGAGCGGUGAAAUGCGUUGAUAUCUACAGGAACUCCGGUGGCGAAAGCGGCGUGCUGGACCUUUUCUGACGCUGAGGCGCGAAAGCUAGGGGAGCAAACGGG
rnacentral:rRNA from 1 species